rnacentral:tRNA from 1 species
AAAGGCUUUAGCUUAAUUAAAGUGCUUGAGUUGCAUUCAGGAGAUGUAUCAUAAUAUAGUACAGGUCUUA